UUCAUUGCUCCAGGCAGCAAGCUAAGUCUGACCUUGUUCUGGGCUCCUGCAAAUGGCUUUUCGACUGCAGUGUGGUUUCGAAAUUGAUAUGUUUACAUACAGCACAAUUAUUUAUCAAACCAAGUCCUGCAGGUAUGAAAAUUAUGUGGCUUGAUUCUGAAUUCCCCUAAACAUUGCCAAGGACAAAUGAGCAGGAGCUGAAAGGGCUCUCUCUUUCCCACUUACACCUACUGCAAGACAAAUCUCCUGUGUACUGUAGUUAUGAUGUGAGCCUGCUUUUGGUCUCCUUGAUUGCCACUAAUGAAGUGGCAUUCCAAGAAAGCACAAGUCGAGAAUUAUCAGCACUGGGAUGUCCUCUGCUAUAACCACACAGGUCUAUAAAUCCUGCAGAAUUCACUGAAUAAAUUGCACUGCAUUUUGCUGCAAAGAAAGCUCUGCAUCACUGUAAACGUUUCGAAGCCUUGUUGGAGCACAGAGACGGCUGAAGUGACUUGCUCAUGGUUACACAGUGUCACUACCAGGAUUUGAACCCACCACCUGAGGGUUUGAAGUCCAAUGACCUAACCACUCCACUGCCCCACACUGCCUGCCUGACUGAAAUCAUCUAAAGUCUAUCAGGGACUCAGUACAAAAUAAUAUCAACAAGCACCAACCAUACCUUUCAGACUGCCUUACACUCAGCCCAUUUUGGAGGAAAACGUGUGUUUAAUUCUCAAAUAGUUAUGGGUUUAUAGUUACUCAUAUCCCUGUAAUAACAUCAUACUAGAUGGGAUAAGAUUAUACUCCUAUAAAUCUGGAUUAUCCUGGACUAUAUGAGUCCUCUUGUGAAAGACCACUUGGACCCACUGCACCACCCUGUCGGACAAAGAUUGAAAUAUAAAAUACAGUGAUCUGUCUGGACCACAACUCUUAUUCCUGUCUGGCAGCACUGUGACGAUUACAUUUUUUGAUUCCUCCAGUGCCUUCCAUACCAUCCAGCCAUCUAUGUUAAGGGGUAAACUCAGAGAUAUGCAGGUGGAUGAGCCUAUGGUGUCCUUGAUAAUAGACUCCUGCAAGGCAGACUGCGUCUCUGAUGAGGAUGUGAGUGAUACUGGAGCACCACAAGGGGAAAAAAAAUCCUAUCUCCUUUUCUCUUCACCCUGUGCUGAGAAAAUGAUUAUGAAUAUAACACCAGGUAACGUGACUGCAGAAAUUCUGAAGAUUCUCCUUUUAUUGAGUACAUUGGCAAGAGGGAUAAGACAGAGUAAAGAUGUCAGGCGGAGAACUUUGUUUCUUGGUGCAAAGAGAAUUUUCUGCAAUGUAACAUCAGCAAAGCCAAGGAACUGGUUAUUGACUUUCACAGCAGGCUAGAGCCUCUAAUCCCUGACACUAUUUAGGGAGUGCAUAUGGAGGUGGGCCACUCCUAGAAGUACAUCAAUGACAGAUUGAAUUGUUCUUGUAGCACAGAGGGACUCUAUAAGAAAGGGCAGAGCAGGCUCUUUUUUUGUUAGGAGACUGCUUUCGUGUUGGUAGUGACACAUCCUUCACAUCUCUUAUAACUCUGUGAUGGCCAGUGCAGUUUUCUACAUUGUGGUGUGCUGGGCAUAUAACAUCACUUUAAAAGUGGCCCACUGAGUCAACAAGCUAAAUAAGAAAGUGUGCUUAGUUAUAGAAUGCACUGUCUAUUCCUGGAGGCAGUAGUGGAGGAGAAAAUUAAAAGAAAGCCAUUAUGAACAAUGCUGCACACGCUAUCACUGAGUACAUUUAGCCAUUGAAUUAUUCAGUAAAAGUGUGUCAAGAAACGCUACUGGGGCUCCUUCAUAACAACAGCAAUAUGCCUGCAUAAUGCCUCACUGAGACCGUGAUUUUUAUUUUUAUCUGAGUCAGACAUUUUCAUCUCUUUCUUUUAAGUAAUCCUGGUGUGAAUUUUAGAUGAAUUGUUGUUGUUUGUUAUAAUAUUACCUGCAUUUAUAUGUUGAGCUUCUGUAAAAAGCUAAAAUUCCCCCUUAGGACAAAUUAAAGUAUUAUCUAUGUGAUCUUUGACACCAGAACACUUGCAAAUGCUUAUAUUACAAACUGCAAUAAUCCUAAUAAAUCCCAUAUACAUCA